GAUGAACGCUGGCGGCGUGCUUAACACAUGCAAGUCGAACGAUGAAGCCCAGCUUGCUGGGUGGAUUAGUGGCGAACGGGUGAGUAACACGUGAGUAACCUGCCCUUAACUCUGGGAUAAGCCUGGGAAACUGGGUCUAAUACCGGACAGGAGCGUCCACCGCAUGGUGGGUGUUGGAAAGAUUUAUCGGUUUUGGAUGGCCUCGCGGCUUAUCAGCUUGUUGGUGAGGUAAUGGCUCACCAAGGCGACGACGGGUAGCCGGCCUGGGAGGGUGACCGGCCACACUGGGCCUGAGGCACGGCCCAGUCUCGUACGGGAGGCAGCGGUGGGGAGUAUUGCACAGUGGGCGCAAGCCUGAUGCAGCGACGCCGCGUGAGGGAUGACGUCCUUCGGGUUGUGAACCUCUUUCAGUAGGGAAGAAGCGAAAGUGACGGUACCUGCAGAAGAAGCACCGGCUAACUACGUG
rnacentral:rRNA from 1 species